rnacentral:misc_RNA from 1 species
CACAGUAAAUCCAACAACAAAAGGUUUGAUGCUUAUCUUGUUGUGCGCAUGCUUUCUUAUCCCUUUUUUUGGUAUGUUUCUACAGUUAUCAUUGGAGAUCGUGACUAGCAAAAUGCAGUAUAUUUUCACUUCUGGCUGAAAGUAUUCAGCUAAUCCAGAAUAUUUUAACCUCAUACAUAUACGACAGAGCUGCAGUAGUUUCUUCUAGCAUUCUGUGGGACUGGUUCACAUUUUUUUAACUGUUACUUUUAGUAAGUAACAAUAAUCUACAUGUCACUGAACAUGCAUCGAUAUAUACAUUUAUGUUAAGAAAAGUGUGUGGAAUAUAACACUACGCCUUUAAUUGACUGUAAAUUUUUGUUCUUUUUAUGUCUCAGCUUUCGUCAUGCUAUUAAUUCAGGAAACCUCUCUAGAACAGACAUGACUUCUUUCUCUUCUCUUUGCAGUAAUACUUUUCAUUCUCCAGAGACUGAGCAUGGCAGAGAACAUGUUCUGAUAAUAAGCCGCAGAUGCACUGUCCUCAACAAAAGCACCAUCAGAAUCUGAUACCAGUAAAAGCCACUAAAUGGACUCUGUUUCAUCAAAGAGUGACGUGUCUUUGGCCUCUACCAACCUUUCACUUUGCUUAUCCCCAACAAUUUCUGGUGCGUGAAAGCUCUUUUGCUGGCACAAAGAAAGCUCUUUUACUGGCACAAAUGAUGGCUCAAAGACACAUCUGCAACACCCUCCAAGUUUUGACUAUGGAAUUUAAGCAAACAUCAACAUCACAUUUUCACCUAAAAAGGU